CGCGCCUCCUGGUGGUCCCCUUUGUCGCCACGAAGCCACGCCUCCCCCGCGGGCCGGGCGGAAGCCUCUCCCAAAGUGAUUGCAUGGAUCUGAAUGAUAUACUUGAGAGUUCUUUCAAUGCAAAUGAGACGAUUAUAUCAGAGUUUAAUUUACUUCAUCAACCGAGAAAGAAACACACGUGAAUAAACUGAAGAAGUUAACUGCUCUACUCAGUAAGAAGGGGCUACUCCUGUGUAGCGCUGGAAGGGUUGUGACAUUGCUGCAGUGGCGGCUGGUGUGGGGGUUGUGGCCUCUACUCCUGAUGCACCAGCCUGUGCCUGAGAUGUUUGUGUGGCUGCACAUGCUCUUACCCUAGCUUCUGCUCCUGGUGCCUAUGUCUCUCUACUAGCUGCGUGCUCCUUUCUGAUGAGUUCUACGUGUCUCCUCUCUCAUAUGUUAUCCUUGCUCUGCUGGAUUUCUUAGUUUCUGGAAUUAUACAUGUCUUUUCUAGAUCAUGCCAUGCAUAGUGUACUCUGUAUGACUCACUAUACAUGUCAUUUAUUGAUUUUUAAUUGCAAAAGGAUGAGUUGCUUAGCUUUUAGAUCAGAUAGUCACUUGCUGACCAAGUUUAUUUGAUAUAGUCUUAGAAAACGUAAUGCCGACCGAUUUUUGCUGGUCUAAAUAAUCGUCACUUUGCGAACAUUCUUUCUUUGUUCACUAUCUAUCGCAGGAGCAUCUAUAUAUGUGGAUGGACGGACCUUUUUUGCAUGUACUGAUCGAGCUGGAGGUCAAUGGGAGGCACUGGGAGCCAGACCAAGGCUUCUUAUUUGUAUGGUUUGCUUUGCUUGUGCAAAGUGUAUGUCAUGAGUAUUGAUGAAUUUGUGUUUGGAUCUACUGUUGCUACUGUAUUAUAAAUUUAUUCAGCUGAUCAUAUAUAUUCAACCUGAUAGAAGAGUGAGAGAUCCAUGUACUGAGUUCUUUGUGUGCCAAAACUGAGA